rnacentral:rRNA from 1 species
GAAUAUGCCCAGAUUAUUUUCAGCGCACAGAAGCUAAGCGGAAUUAGAGCCUGGUUAGCACUUGUAUGGGAGACUGCCAAGGAAUAUCAUGUAUUGUAGGCU